rnacentral:rRNA from 1 species
GACGAACGCUGGCGGCGUGCUUAACACAUGCAAGUCGAACGGAAAGGCCCUGCUUUUGUGGGGUGCUCGAGUGGCGAACGGGUGAGUAACACGUGAGUAACCUGCCCUUGACUUUGGGAUAACUUCAGGAAACUGGGGCUAAUACCGGAUAGGAGCUCCUGCUGCAUGGUGGGGGUUGGAAAGUUUCGGCGGUUGGGGAUGGACUCGCGGCCUAUCAGCUUGUUGGUGGGGUAGUGGCUUACCAAGGCUUUGACGGGUAGCCGGCCUGAGAGGGUGACCGGCCACAUUGGGACUGAGAUACGGCACAGACUCCUACGGGAGGCAGCAGUGGGGAAUAGUGCACAAUGGGCGGAAGCCUGAUGCAGCAACGCCGCGUGCGGGAUGACGGCCUUCGGGUUGUAAACCGCUUUCGCCUGUGACGAAGCGUGAGUGACGGUAAUGGGUAAAGAAGCACCGGCUAACUACGUG